rnacentral:lncRNA from 10 species
CUUUCUUGCUGUGGGGGCAGCAGGGAACUGCUUGACCUCUGGGUUUCCUUUGGUUCAAUUAAGGUGAUAAUUCUUGCCUGGCCUUACAGAUGUAGCUUCCUUAUUUUGUACAAUGGCAACCACCCUUACAGCACACAGCUGUCAAUAAGAACUUCACGCAUGUUUGUGCAAGCUGGUGUUGAUGCUAGGACAUCUACAACUUUCAAGAUUAUAAAUUCCAUGGAGGAAGGUACCAUAUCUCUCUUGUAAAGAGUAUUUUAGAGUGUACCCUUCCUACUUACAAAACAGCCUCAGGCAGUUCCUUCAGGGGGUAUUCCAGAAGAAGGCAUUGUUAUCACAGGAGAUGACAGCUCCAUGCACGUGAGAGGCCCUGAAGACCUUCCAUUGGGACAAGCUGUGGAGGUGGAAGACAGCGAUGCUGAUAAUUAUGACACUGUGUAGGCUUAGGCUAAUUCGUUUGUUUGCAAUUUAGCUUUUAACAAAAAUGUUUCAAAAGUAAGAUAAUAAAAAGCCUAUAGAAUAAGGAUAUAAAGAAAUAGUAAUUUCGUAGUUCAUAAGCAUGAUGAUUGGGUGUUCACACACAUGCGUGAGAUACGCCACCCUCCCACCUUGUUAAGAUGUUGGCACAUAACCCGUCUUACAUGAAGAAAAAAGAAAAACAAUUUUUUUUACACUUGUGCAAUGUGUUUGUGUUUGAAGCUAAGUGUCAUGAAAGUCAAAAUGUUUAAAAAAUUAAAAUUUAUGAACUAAAAAUGCACAGUAAGCUAAGGGUAUUAGUACAGAAGAAUUUAUUCAAUAAAUUUAGAGUACCCUAAGUAAGUGUACAGUGUUUAUUAAGCAUAUGGUAGUAUACAGUAAUGUCCUAAGCUUUCACAUUCACUUACCACUCACUCACUGACUCAGAGCAACUUCCAGCCCUUCAAGUUCAAGUCACAGUAAGCCUCCUAUACAGCUAAGCCAUAUUUUUGUAUCUUUUACAACAUAUUUGCACUGUACAUUUUCUAGUUUUCAAUAUAUUUAGAUACACAAAUACUUACCAUUGUGUUGCAAUUGUCUGUAGUAUUCAGUACAGUAACAUGCAGUAUAGGUUUGUAGCCUAGAAGCAAUAGGCUGUCCCUUAUAGCCUAGGUCUACAAUGGGCUAUACCGUCUAGGUUUGUGUAAGUAUACUCUAUGAUGUUUGCACAAUGAUGAAAUUGCCUAAGAAUGCAGUUCUCUGAAUGUAUCCCCAUAAACAACACAUGACUGUAUAUACUUGUCUCAAGAACUGGGUCCAGUUAUCUGCAAAGAGGCUUCUCUGCUAAUACACAGGAGAUAAAUUUGUAGAUAUGAUCAGAAAAUGGUUUGUGAAUAUAGGAUCAAUUUGCUAUAGUAAUAAUAUUCUCUGGUUUGUUUCUAUCUUCUAUGUAGUUACUCACUAGCUACUGUCAAUUCCACCUCUGAAAUGUAUCUUAGAUGCUUUUCCACAUUUCUUUUCUGAUUUCACUUACCUAGGUCAUCAUAUUUUCCCCUGAACCCCAGCAAUGCCAUUCUAACUGCCUUCUCAAUUUUCACACUUUUUGAGGUAGAUAUGAUUCCACGAUACAUGUUUAAUGACACUAUUUGGUGCGUUUCUAUUUUUUAUCUUGUAUUUUUUGGUUUGUCUGCUUCCACCCAUAUAUUCUUAGCACCUUAAGGGCAUGACCAGCAUCUUCUUUCAUAUCUACCUCAAUUUAUUAAGGCUGCUAUUAUAACGUAACAUAGACUGGGUGACUUAAACAACAGACAUUUAUUUCUUUCUCACUGUUCUAGAGGCAUCAAUAGAUUUCCUUCCUAGUGAGGGCCUGUUUCCUGGCUUGUAGAUGGUGGCUGUCUUGCUGUAUCCUUGCAUGGCAGAGAGAGAGCACAAGUGCUCUACUAUCUAUCUGUUCCUCUUCUUAUAAGGAUGCUAAAUUACGUCCUGGGAGCACCACCCUCUUUAACUUAUCUAAAUCGAAUUACCUCUGCCAAGCCCCACCUCCUAAUAACAUCACAUUAAGGGUUACAGCUUCAACACAUUGAAUUUGUGGGGGACACAAACAUCCAGUGCAUAAUACCUACCAAUCUGCUCCUAUCCCAUUUAGUGUUUAGUACAAUGUUGAGUGUAUUAUAGGCCUGGAGGCAUGAAAACCAACCUUUCAGACAUUCAAUUGCUCUGAGGUCUCUGACCGCAGUUGACAGGCGGUCCUGCUGCUAUACUCUGAUCUACCAUUGUAUUCCUGUGGAGGCCCUCCUAACCUCCAUCCUGCUCUCAGCCUGUGAGGAAGCACAGCAGGAAUGCUAAAGCAGACAAGCUUCUGGGAGAUUUAAAACUUGGCCAGGUGCAGUGGC